CUUUUGGUCCACAUACAUGAACUUAGAAGAGUACUUCUGUUGCUGAGGAAAGGUACACAGGGGAUGGCUCUCCACUACUAUACAGAAAAGAUUCAUCAGAUUCAUCACUCAGUCGCAGUCCGAGAAGCUUUACUGAAUGGAGAUAUUCCCAGAAAUGAAGCAACCACAAAGUUGUUGACAUCAAUGAACUGACAGUAUGGAGACUAUCAAGAGACUGGUGACAGAAACUUUUGCACAGGCAUGAAAGGAACAUUCUCU
rnacentral:lncRNA from 1 species